CAGCAGCCGCGGUAAUACAGAGGGUGCGAGCGUUAAUCGGAUUUACUGGGCGUAAAGCGUGCGUAGGCGGCUUUUUAAGUCGGAUGUGAAAUCCCUGAGCUUAACUUAGGAAUUGCAUUCAAUACUGGGAAGCUAGAGUAUGGGAGAGGAUGGUAGAAUUCCAGGUGUAGCGGUGAAAUGCGUAGAGAUCUGGAGGAAUACCGAUGGCGAAGGCAGCCAUCUGGCCUAAUACUGACGCUGAGGUACGAAAGCAUGGGGAGCAAACAGGAUUAGAUACCCCCGUAGUCCCUGUCUCUUAUAC
rnacentral:rRNA from 1 species